CGCCGCCGCAGGGUGUGCGGCCAAACAGGCGGAGCCUCCCGCCGAGGGUGGAGGCUGCCGGGCUGGGGGCCUGAGAGGCGGUGCUGGAGAGCGAGCGCCGCCCGCCGGCGGGAAGAGCGGCUCCUCGCCUCCCGCCCGCCGCCGCGGAAAGGUAAUUGGGAACGGUGGCAUGCCACUUACGUUGAAUUUGUGCCAUUGAAUGCAAUCAGACUACAGGGUUGAAAACAAGUGAAAAGCAAUUAGACAGAUUUUACAGCCAGGGCAACUGCUUCAACCCCUGACUAUCGUGGUGGUCCUUUGCUGGAUUUGCUCAACUUGAUCACCUUUUCUGUACUGGCAGCCCCAAAAC